rnacentral:rRNA from 1 species
CCCUUAGAUGUUCUGGGCUGCACGCGCGCUACACUGAUGCACUCAACGAGUUUACGACCUUGCCCGAUAGGGUUGGGUAAUCUUUUUAAAAUGCAUCGUGAUGGGGAUAGAUUAUUGCAAUUAUUAAUCUUCAACGAGGAAUACCUUGUAAGCGCGGGUCAUCAUCCCGCGCUGAAUACGUCCCUGCCCUUUGUACACACCGCCCGUCGCUCCUACCGAUUGAGUGGUCCGGUGAGGCUUUGGGAUCUGAGCGGAAAGAGCGUUUCGCUGUUUCUGCUCGGAAAACUCAGUCGAACCUUAUCAUUUAGAGGAAGGAGAAGUCGUAACA